rnacentral:rRNA from 1 species
AGCGAACGCUGGCGGCAGGCCUAACACAUGCAAGUCGAACGAACCUUUCGGGGUUAGUGGCGGACGGGUGAGUAACACGUGGGAACGUGCCUUUAGGUUCGGAAUAACUCAGGGAAACUUGUGCUAAUACCGAAUGUGCCCUUCGGGGGAAAGAUUUAUCGCCUUUAGAGCGGCCCGCGUCUGAUUAGCUAGUUGGUUGAGGUAAUGGCUCACCAAGGCGACGAUCAGUAGCUGGUCUGAGAGGAUGAUCAGCCACAUUGGGACUGAGACACGGCCCAAACUCCUACGGGAGGCAGCAGUGGGGAAUCUUGCGCAAUGGGCGAAAGCCUGACGCAGCCAUGCCGCGUGAAUGAUGAAGGUUUUAGGAUUGUAAAAUUCUUUCACCGGGGACGAUAAUGACGGUACCCGGAGAAGAAGCCCCGGCUAACUUCGUG